CUAAGAUCGGGUCACAAAGGUCAUUGGUCUAUGACGAAAACCCUGGGAAACAUCUAAAGACAACCAGGAAGCAUCCUAGAUGUCCAAAUGACCUCAACUGACUACUCCAAACACCCCCACAAUGAUGGAGCUCUUUACCCUUUCGCUAAGGCCACAUGAGACUUGGCUUUGCUUGUCGGAUGUUCUGGAUUCUGUCGAGUACCACCGGAUCGCUGCACUCUCAUGGCAGAGGGAUGGCGAGUUUAUCCAACUAAAUGUACUUUGCCUUGCUGGCUGUUCCUAUCUGGGAGUUCCCCGUUUAGGACGCCAUGGUGGAGGACUUGCUGCUGUGUUUAAGGACAGACACACAUGCAGAGAUACAAAAAAUGACUCCUGACCCAGCUGUCCUCGGUUCGAGUCUCAAACCCGGAGACCUAUGCUUCCUGUUCCUGCUCUCUCUAAACUACUUUACCUACUUUUCAAAAAAUAACAAAAAUAAAGGCCAACAGUGCCACUAAAAAAAAAAAAAAGUAAAAUCAACACAUCAUGCUCCAACCUAAGGAAAUUUAACAGCAGGUGAGAAAUAAUGUAGCUGAUAUCUGUCAGAUUUUGGAACUGCAGCAAACCACAUUAAGAGGCAUUAUCUACAAAUGAUUAAAAAGGGAAACAAUGGUGACCCAUCACAGGAGUAGCUGGCCCACCAAAAUUGCUCAAAGAGUGCAAUGGCAACUCCUCCAGAAGGUUACAAAAGAUCAAGAACAACAUCUGAAGCUAGGAAGACCUCACUUGCCUUAGUUAAGGUCAGUGUGCAUGAUUUACCAAUUAGAAAGAGACAGGGCAAAAUGGACAUCCAUGGGAGAGUUCUGAUACAAAAUCCACUACUGAUGAAAAAGAGUACAAUGAUCCAAAGCACACCAGGAAGUCCAACUAUAAUGGCUCAAAAAAGGCAGAAUGAAGAUUUUAUAGUAAACUAGUCAAAGAUAGGACUUAAAUCAAAAUUGAGAUGCUGUGGCAUAACCUUAAACAGGGUGCUCAUGCUCAAAAACCUUCCAAAGUGAUUGAAUUGAAACAAGGAGUAGGCCAAAAUUCCUACACAGCGAUGUAAAAGACACAUUUGCAGUGAUUUCCAAUUCUUCACCGUAGCUGUUUCCACAAAGGCUGGCACAACCAGUUUGUUUUUUGUUUUUUUUACACAAGGCCAUGUUGGUUUUGAUAGAUUUUUCUCUUUGAUAAAUUAAAUCAUCCUUUCAAAAUGAGGUACUGUUUUUGUUGCAAAUUUUGGUUUUAGUCUGGUUAGUCUUUAUAUGUUAUUUGUCAUAUGUCAUAACUAAUGCAGAAUCUCUUAAAUAAGGUUAUAUCUUUGAGGUAUAUAGCAUUUGUUUAUACAUACCACUAGUAAUUUCUCCUAACACCAAAGCCCAGCACAAACAGUGAAGAGAGAAAUCAGGGUAUGACACACUUCUCCACUGUGUUGAAAACCUCAAAAUCAGAGCCCAUAGAGGUGUAAUGGAACCAUACUCAGCAGCAAUAACUACGGCGACUGUAGCGCUACAGUGAGCAGUGAAGUAGGUCCUUCACAGGGAGUGUAAAAUCCAGCACAGACAAGAUCAGUUUCACAGAACACUAUAUUAUAAUAGGGGUUAUUGUAUGUGAACAAUGAUGGAAUCAAGUGCUUACAGUGAAUUUGGACAGCAACCUUUGUUGUCUGAACUGGCUCCUCUAAGACUGAAAUCUGAAUAAAGCAUAAAACAUAAACUAUUUUUCAUAUUGUAACUGACCUGCUCCCUAAUUAAACAUGUUUCCUUAGCUCCACGCUUCGCUUGUUCUGCAGUAUAAAUGUCAAGUACUCAUGAGCUAAAACCAUAUCAGUUUGUUAAUGAUCAAUGCGAUUUUUUUCCGGCAAGUUUAGCCUGAUUUGCUUGUCAAUGUGUUGUUUAAAUGUUAGUCGAAAUAAACAUGUGAACUACAUCAUGUUUUUGACACCUUUUUCAUGUAUAUUGCACUCCUUUAUUAUAUGAUUAUAUAUUGUCUAAGUACAGGUUUGUUAAAACUAAGAGAGAAAAGGUCUCCAUAGAUUUCCUUCUGUGGACAAACAUGAGCCAUUUGGAGCAUGCUGAAAUGCAUGCUCGAGUAUUCUUAUUAUUUUUUGCUCAGUUGAACUCAGUUUACAACUGUCUGCUCAGAAGAGAGGUUAGGUGGUGAAAAUAAAGAAUAGUCAUUUCUUACCAGGUAUUUUUUUUGGAGCAGUCACUGUAAAAUACAAUUUUACUGUUAUUUUGAAACAGAAAAAACUGGUAAAGCAGUUCACAUUUUAAACAGACUAAUAGACCUGUUCUGAAUAUUAUCAUUAUAAAUUAGGACAAACAAAUAUUUCAAUUAAGCUCUUUUGAUGAAAUUUAAGUUUCUUUAAUCAUGUGAACUGCAUAGUUAUCUGUAAUGUAUUUAAAUGUUCAUGAAACUCGAGAAAAAGACAAUGCUAUACUAACAUCCCUUACCUGUCAUGCUCUGCCCUUUUGUUUACCUUUUCAUUUAUAGGUGUUUUUGUUGUUUACUUCUGUCGGUUUUUACCUUCUAGCUUCUUGUGUUCAUUUUAGUUCAUUUCUUUAUCUGUGUUCCCUGGGUUUUGUCAUUUUGUAGUGUUUCUUAAGUUUCUGUCCUCAUGUUUGUUUUUCUCCCUCAGCAGCCCAGUCUCGUUAGUGUAAUCAGUCACACUUCCCUCAGUUCCCCUGCAACCCGGUUCCACACCUGUUUCAUGUGCCAUCUGAUUACCUGUCACUCAUUUUCAUUGGUUCACACUCCUCUUCCCUCAGUAUAUAUGUUUGGUUAUUUUCAUUGUUCCUCGCUUGG